GACGAACGCUGGCGGCGUGCUUAACACAUGCAAGUCGAACGGAAAGGCCCUGCUUUUGUGGGGUGCUCGAGUGGCGAACGGGUGAGUAACACGUGAGUAACCUGCCCUUGACUUUGGGAUAACUUCAGGAAACUGGGGCUAAUACCGGAUAGGAGCUCCUGCUGCAUGGUGGGGGUUGGAAAGUUUCGGCGGUUGGGGAUGGACUCGCGGCUUAUCAGCUUGUCGGUGGGGUAGUGGCUUACCAAGGCUUUGACGGGUAGCCGGCCUGAGAGGGUGACCGGCAACAUUGGGACUGAGAUACGGCCCAGACUGCUACGGGAGGCAGCAGUGGGGAAUAUUGCACAAUGGGCGGAAGCCUGAUGCAGCAACGCCGCGUGCGGGAUGACGGCCUUCGGGUUGUAAACCGCUUUCGCCUGUGACGAAGCGUGAGUGACGGUAAUGGGUAAAGAAGCACCGGCUAACUACGUG
rnacentral:rRNA from 1 species